CAUCACUACGCUAGAUGCAUAUCAAUAAGCGGAGGAAAAGAAACUAACUAGGACUCCCUUAGUAAUGACGAGCGAAGCGGGAAGAGCUCAAAUUUGAAAUCUUCAAGGUUCUACCUUGACGAAUUGUAGUUUAAAGAAGUGUUCUCUGUUGGAGUUUCGGUAAAAGUUCUUUGGAAUAGGACAUCAUAGAGGGUGAGAAUCCCGUAUUUGACCGUUACUUUCCAGCUGUGUGAUACACUUUCAAAGAGUCGGAUUGUUUGGGAAUGCAGUCCAAAAUGGGUGGUAAAUUUCAUCUAAAGCUAAAUAUUGGCGAGAGACCGAUAGCGAACAAGUACCGUGAGGGAAAGAUGAAAAGAACUUUGAAAAGAGAGUUAAACAGUACGUGAAAUUGUCAAAAGGGAAGCGUUUGACACCAGUGUUGUUUUUCCGAAAAUCAAUUACUGAAUGGUUUGAUUUUGAGAAGUUAUGACUUCAUCGGCUUGCUCCUUUCUUUACGAAACUUUCUUAAUGCACUUUUCGGUUAACAAGUCAACAUCAAUUUCUUUUGUUGUAAAAGGGUAUGAGGAAGGUGGCUUUCUUUUCGGAGAAAGUGUUUAUAGCCUUGUGCCUCUACAAUCGGAGAGAUUGAGGUCUGCAGCGUAGAUCCUUCGGGGUUAGAUACAUUGGUGCUAAGCUAUAGCCUUGUAUAGACAACUUGUUGACUAUGCUCAGUCAUGUAGCUUACUCGCUGAUGCUAUUUUACCUACGCUUAGGAUGUUGACACACGCGCGUGCUCG
rnacentral:rRNA from 1 species